UGAGGUGCAUGUAUGUGACCUGUAUAUAGUGUGUCUGAGGUGUAUAUAUAACCUGUACAGUGUGUGAGGUGCAUGUAUGUGACCUGUAUAUAGUGUGUAUGAGGUGCAUGUAUGUGACCUGUAUAUAGUGUGUAUGAGGUGCAUGUAUGUGACCUGUAUAUAGUGUGUAUGAGGUGCAUGUAUGUGACCUGUAUAUAGUGUGUAUGAGGUGUAUAUAUAACCUGUACACAGUGUGUGAGGUGCAUGUAUGUGACCUGUAUAUAGUGUGUAUGAGGUGUAUAUAUAACCUGUACACAGCGUAUGAGGUGCAUGUAUGUGACCUGUAUAUAGUGUGUAUGAGGUGCAUGUAUGUGACCUG